GUUUCCUACGGGGCGCAGCAGUGGGGAAUAUUGGGCAAUGGGCGCAAGCCUGACCCAGCAACGCCGCGUGAAGGAAGAAGGCUUUCGGGUUGUAAACUUCUUUUCUCAGGGACGAAGAAAGUGGCGGUACCUGAGGAAUAAGCCACGGCUAACUACGUGCCAGCAGCCGCGGUAAUACGUAGGGGGCAAGCGUUAUCCGGAUUUAUUUGGUGUAAAGGGCGUGUAGGCGGGAGCGCCAGUCAGAUGUGAAAACUCA
rnacentral:rRNA from 1 species